UGCCUUCGGAGCCAGAACACAGGUGCUGCAUGGCUGUCGUCAGCUCGUGUCGUGAGAUGUUGGGUUAAGUCCCGCAACGAGCGCAACCCUUGUCACUAGUUGCCAGCAUUAAGUUGGGCACUCUAGUGAGACUGCCGGUGACAAACCGGAGGAAGGUGGGGAUGACGUCAAGUCCUCAUGGCCCUUAUGGGUAGGGCUUCACACGUCAUACAAUGGUCGGUACAGAGGGUUGCCAAGCCGCGAGGUGGAGCUAAUCCCUUAAAGCCGAUCGUAGUCCGGAUCGUAGUCUGCAACUCGACUACGUGAAGUCGGAAUCGCUAGUAAUCGUGGAUCAGCAUGCCACGGUGAAUACGUUCCCGGGUCUU
rnacentral:rRNA from 1 species